UUAACAUGGGGUGAAGCACUCACAGAACUCUUUCUCUUCUUUUCAGACUCGUUUCUCAGGCUGAUUCCGCUUAUUUGUUUCUCAUACCUUCAGACUCACUACAGAACUGAUGAAAUAACAGAUUUCCUUCAAUUGUUUUAAUCAUGUCUUGUAUCAGUUUUUUUUAUGUUGUAUGUUAUACUGUAUGCAUUGCAGGCCUAGGAACAGCAGCAAGUGUCCUUUUUUAAGCUCCUACCUGCUCCAUAUUUUUUUUCUCAGGAAGCCUCUAUGUGGGGCUACAGAUCAGCCCACUCACGCAUUCUGUUCCCCAGUGAAUGAAUGGGAGCUGUGAAAGGAGCCGCAGCUGGAGGGAGGGGGCCGCAUGUGCUGGUGGGCUCAUUACAGGGGUGGUCGCCCACUUCUCCCCACUAAUGAGAACGCUUUCGCUCUCCCAUUAUCAUUACGCAGCGCUCGCCAGCCCGCAAUUACUCAGGACCAGUGUGCAUAAUGACGACUGAUUAAUUGAUUUAGCAUAAACAGGAGGGCCGGCCCGGCGCUCAUUAAGAUGCAGCCUCGCCGGCCGAGCGUGCAGGUGCUCGCCUCAACACCUGGCCAGCUGGAGUCAGGAGGGAGGGGGGGUUAGGAGGGUUAGGGGGGUGCAGGACCUGAUGUGAUAAUUUGGUGAUGAAUGGGGUUGAAUGAACUUGGACUGGGCCAGAUUGUGUGUAGUCUGGUCCUGACUGGUCAGCAGAACUGUUAUAGUGUGGCCAGAUGUCCCGUAUUUUGGGACAAAACAUUUUGGGUAACCCUUUCUAUGAAUCAGGUAUCUAUAAAGCAUUAUAAAUGCAUUCAUAAAGCUUCACAAAGCAUACAUAAUGCUUUAUAACACUUGACAUAAGCCUUUCUAACUAUACAUAAAUGUUUAUAAUCUCAAACAUAAAACAUUAUAACACCACAGUAUAAAGCUUUGUAUCACAAAGCGAUAUAAUGCAUUAUAAUAUGUUUGCAUUUGCUGUUCUUAACAUUAUUGGUGAGACCUGUUUCCUAAAGCUUAAUAGAUGUUGAGUUCAUUCACAACUGCUAUAUGUUAUAAUCAAAAUUGUUCUGUAAAUGCACAUAACAACUAAUGAACACUUAUAAGUGCUUUUCACAGACUUUUGGUAAAGUGAUGAGUUAUUCCACAUUAAAAUGGAGUUAUUGAGUUAUUGAUGAGUUAUUCCACAUUGGUGCAUUGCUAUUUCAGAUCUCAGAUGAAUCUGAGACCUGAAACUGAAAACACUGUCUCACCGUGUCUUCUCUGUAUCCUGCAUCCAGUAACAGUGUUGAGGAGGUUUGCUGAUCAAGGUAACAGUAAUGUGGACCUAGAGAUGUAUUGUGAGAUACAGAGUUUUGGGUAACUAAGAAGGUUAAGUAUCUUCUGUGUGAUCUGUAUGAGGAGUGCAGAAAUAUGCAAUGUGUUCGUGAAACUGCUAAAGAAAGAGGAAAAAAAAGACUAAAGUGAUUUGGUUUGUGUAUGUUGUUGAAUAAAGAAAAGAGAUGAAUCUGAGACCUGAAACUGAAAA